rnacentral:tRNA from 1 species
AGUUAAAAAAACUAUUAUGCUUCAAACAUUAAAUUAACUUGUUAGUUUAUUUCUA